rnacentral:tRNA from 1 species
CGGGGCGUAGUUCAGUUGGCUAGAACGCUUGCAUGGGGUGCAAGAGGUCGCAGGUUCGAGUCCUGUCGCCCCGA